AACAUACUUUAAAUCUCCAAGAGGAUGAUACAGAGAGCCAUGUUUCCCAUAAUUAGUUGGCCCCAGAAACAGUUUCUUCUGGGAACAUUUUGUAAGAUUAGUGCUCCUUGAAACACACUGAGGGAGAGGCUAAACUGAGUGGUAGAGAUUCAUAGACUAUUUGGAUUCUGGCCCCAGAGUAUAAAAGGCCAGGGGGAAAGGACUGUGUUCCUGAGAUGGUGAGGUGGAGAAGGGGACGUGUUUCUCCACCACCCACAGAGAGGGCUGAGAAGCCCUGGCACACGGGCUGAAUCUGGGAUGUCAGAAGGGAGGAGAGAGGACAGGAAGACAGCCCACGAGACUUUCAAAGGAAAUGGCGAGUCUUACCAUGGCUCUCUGGGCUGAUGGCAGGGCCCAGCACAAGGUAGGAACUGAGUGUGAGUGCGGGAUGCACCCGGGUCUGAAAUGCUCAGGAAGGACCCUAGGACAUGAGCAACCUGGGCUGGUCCCUCAUGGAAACUGAAUAGCUGGAAAGAAGGAAGGUUGAUCCUGCUAAGACAGGGUGUUGUGAAGAUUUCCUUUCCCUCCGAACUAACAUCUCACUCACUUCUCUCAGUUUCCAUCAUUAUCUUCUAUGGAGUUCUUCAUUCCCACAUCUGUGGCCCUUAAAAUCCUAUGGUUGAGUGCCUGCCUUGGAUCAGCAGUCAGUUCGUUACCUUGGUUCUCAGACGAUGCUUGCAACAACGUCAUGCGAUUCGCCCACUCUUGGGUAGAUGGAGACAUUGGGGCUCAGGUGUGGGCAGUUUUAAGAAGAAUGCAUUGAUUCUACAACAUGUUAUUGUGAAGCCAUCCAGGAGUGUUCACUCACUUAUUUAAGAAAGACAUCUAGGCUUGCUGUCAAGGCUUCUGAUCAACAUGAGAUGACCGCCGUGUGGUAAACUGAUGAACCCCGACCCUGAUCAACAUGAGAUGGCCGCCGUGUGGUAAACUGAUGAACCCUGACCCAUUAGGCUUUGGCUACAGAAUGUGGAAAUAAGUUGUGUUACUACAUGUGUGUAAUCCUACGGUGCAGGACACCGGCCGGGAGGUUCCAUAGAGUGAUGGGUUGUGCAGGUAACUCAUCCUCUAGUCCUCUGUAAACUCCUAGAAGGAAGAAAUUAUGUCCUGUAGACUAAUAAAAUUCCUCCAAACCAAAUACAGCACCUACUGUGAAGACACAAAGAUACUUUUAGAAUAGUAAAAACUUUAUCCAUUGAGAAAUUCCUUAAUGGAACAGUAUCCAAGAAGUCAUUUGCCAGCAGAUUUCUUAGAGGUGCGAUAAAGAAGAGGACAUUGCCAGUCGUCACAGCAGCUGCAAUAGCUCCUCUCUAUUGUUAAACAGUGGGAUAUCUUGUACAGGUUUUCAGUUGACAAUCAAUUUUAAAAAUUAGUUUUGGUCCCCAUCAAUCAAUUAUUUAUUAACCCAUCAAUAAAAAUUUAAAUGCUCUGUGAGGUACAAUAGCUAUUAAAAGAGACAGAGGCACUUUCUGUGUCCAGAGGGGCUUUUAGUCUGCUCUGGAAAGCAAGAUGUGUGCAGAUGAGUGACGCAGUGCAUCGUGUGGAUGCAAAGGGAGGGACUCACAUGGGAACCAGAGGAGCUACAAAGGGAGGCAGCGGGGACUGGUGGGUCGAGACCUGGAAAUAACACAUGAAUAGGCAACAAAGGUUUCCGUUCCUCUUCCAUGCACUUCAGUCCUUGAAAAACAUCUUACCACGGAAUUCCACAGUGUACCAAGCGAUUCCACAGCUUGAUGGCACACUGUCCUUUCUCAGCAUUCUUGAAAAUGGCAUGUGAGCCAAGCCAUCUUACUGAGAAAUUACCUUAAACCAUUUGAUGAACCAAAAAUAUUUUGUAAUACCCAUCUCUGACAUUAGGUAGGCAAAUCACACAGAAACAUCGAGGUCUUCUUAGUCAUAUUUAUCUGAAAAAUCACAGCUUGGGUGCAUGUGAAGCCAGAGGAGCACUCCUGGGGCCUGCGGUGCCAUCGCUCAGCUCCCCUGGGCUUCACAUGGCCAUGGAGCAUCCAGCAAGUGCAGGCUCUGAGCCUUCAGGGAGGGGCGGCAUCAGCCAGCACCAUCGUCUCCUGGGUCUCGUGCCUCUUACUUGGUUGCGGUGUUGUCAGGGCCAGAAUGGGGCAGUUCCGGGUGACAUCCAGGUGUGGUUGCUGACACGGAGCACAGGACGCCCUGCUCCUGUGGUUUGCAGCCCCGGCCUUCUCUUCGAGGACGCCUCUGCUCUUCUGCCUCACACUUGGAUUGGACCUUCUUCAGCACAGCCAGUGGCUGAGGCUUCCUCCCUGGGGCUCAGUGGAGCAGGACAGAUGCUGCAUCCAAACUCUUCCAUUGGGUUCCAGUCUGUUCCAGUCAUGCCCUUGAGCCUCUAAAGCUCCUAGUUCCAUAGACCACAGGAAAUGCAGGCGAGAGGGCAGCCCGGCGGGAAGGAAGGAAGAGGGUGGUAUUGAGCCAGACAGGAGACAGUAAGAGAAAUGGCCUCUCUCCUCAGCGGCACAAUGGACUUUAGACAUCGCGCCUGUUUUGUACUCUCCAAGCCGGACUUCUCUACUCGCCGGCCUGGCGCUGAUGCCCAGAGGCCCCCUGUGCUUGUGGCCGUGGCCUUAGACAGUUCCCUGCCCUUUGUUCCAGCCCCGCCACACAGUCUGCACGGCCUCCACCACAGCUCUGGUGAGCCUCUUGGCCAGCUCCUGGUGACAGCAUGCACCUCCCUGCUCUGAGAAGGUCUCCCUCUCCUCUCUGCCCACCCUGUACGGAGACGUCUUUCAAGACCAUCCCAGAGGAGAGUGGCCUCUCUCCUCCACCCCAAGAGGAUGGCCUCUCCUGUGGCUGUCACUCAUCUGACCCCUACCACAGACCUGAGGGCAAGUGGUGCUCACGGGCACACAUCUGCCAGCCUGCACCUGGUUGGAGACGCCUCCCUCUCAUUUGUCCUUGCUUGCUGCGUGACUUUGGCAAGUGCUUGCCUCUUUGAGACCCUCAGUUUUCACACCUGAGAAAUAGAAAGGCGGUGCCUGCCCCAGCUGCCCCGCAGAAGAGUUUAGGUGGCAUGUGAGAAAAUGCCUUAUGAACUACGAUGUGAGCAACUGCAGCAAGCUGUGAACACCGCUUUCAUGAGCUCCUCGGGGGCAGGGUAGCACCCAAGCAUUCUUACACCUCCCACCGGGCUUGUCAUGACCGUAUGCAAAUGAAGGCCAUCAAGCGUGUUUGAUCAGUGAUGUAUUUCUUUAUUUUUAGUUUUAGGAUAUGACAACUCUAUUUUUAGCAGCUACAGCGGCCAAAACUUUGUUACCACUCAGCAGUUGUGUGUUCUUCGAGAGUAGGUUUUGUGCUUUCAAAAUAUCUGAAUCCUCUACCAUUUACAGGUGUUCUGUACAUAUUUGGUGUAUGAGUUGCUCAGGAAGGAAGAAAAAUGUGCCCUGUUUAUCUUUUAAAAAGAUGGCUUGGCUUGGUACUCCUUUGCCUGCAUUCCUUCUCUGUAUUUAGAAACGAACCCACACAAGUGAAGGUAAACGAAGCCUCUUGAAAGAUAAGGCAGGAAAAAUGAGGAUAGAAAACAAAAUCCCUUUAGAGAGUUUACUUGGAGGCUACCACUGGCAUCGCUGCUCUGCAGUCGGUCAACCAGAGGCCCCUGGUGCUGCAGCACGGCCUUGGCAGCUUCACCAACAGGAAUGUGUUCUCCUAGGGUACUGGCGGGUGGCAGUCCCAGAGCAAGGUGUGGCAGGGCUGCUCCUCCUGAGGCCUCUCCCUGGCUUGCAGACGACAUCUUCUCCCAUGUUCUCAUGUGGUCCUCCCUCUGCACACGCAUAUCUGACAUCCUCCCAUGUCCUCACACGUUCCUCUCUCUGCACUCGAAGCCCGGACAUCCUCCUAUGUCCUCACGUGGUCCUCCCUCUGCACUCACAUCCCUGAUGUCCUCCCGUGCCCUCACGUGGUCCUCCCCCUGCACUCGCAUCCAUGACGUCCUCCCGUGCCCUCACGUGGUCCUCCCCCUGCACUCGCAUCCGUGACGUCCUCCCGAGCCCUCACGUGGUCUUCCCCCUGCAUUCACAUCCCUGACGUCCUCCCGAGCCCUCACGUGGUCUUCCCCCUGCACUCACAUCCCUGACGUCCUCCCGUGCCCUCACGUGGUCCUCCCCCUGCACUCACAUCCUGAUGUCCUCCCGAGCCCUCACGUGGUCUUCCCCCUGCACUCACAUCCUGAUGUCCUCCCGUGCCCUCACGUGGUCUUCCCCCUGCACUUGCAUCCCUGACGUCUCCCGUGCCCUCACGUGGUCCUCCCCCUGCACUCACAUCCCUGAUGUCCUCCCGUGCCCUCACGUGGUCCUCCCCCUGCACUCGCAUCCAUGACGUCCUCCCGUGCCCUCACGUGGUCCUCCCCCUGCACUCGCAUCCAUGACGUCCUCCCGUGCCCUCACGUGGUCCUCCCCCUGCACUCGCAUCCGUGACAUCCUCCCGAGCCCUCACGUGGUCUUCCCCCUGCAUUCACAUCCCUGACGUCCUCCCGAGCCCUCACGUGGUCUUCCCCCUGCACUCACAUCCCUGACGUCCUCCCGUGCCCUCACGUGGUCCUCCCCCUGCACUCACAUCCUGAUGUCCUCCCGAGCCCUCACGUGGUCUUCCCCCUGCACUCACAUCCUGAUGUCCUCCCGUGCCCUCACGUGGUCUUCCCCCUGCACUCGCAUCCCUGACGUCUCCCGUGCCCUCACGUGGUCCUCCCCCUGCACUCACAUCCCUGAUGUCCUCCCGUGCCCUCACGUGGUCCUCCCCCUGCACUCGCAUCCAUGACGUCCUCCCGUGCCCUCACGUGGUCCUCCCCCUGCACUCGCAUCCAUGACGUCCUCCCGUGCCCUCACGUGGUCCUCCCCCUGCACUCACAUCCCUGAUGUCCUCCCGUGCCCUCACGUGGUCCUCCCCCUGCACUCACAUCCUGAUGUCCUCCCGUGCCCUCACGUGGUCCUCCCCCUGCACUUGCAUCCAUGACAUCCUCCCGUGCCCUCACGUGGUCCUCCCCCUGCACUCACAUCCCUGAUGUCCUCCCAUGCUCUCACGUGGUCUUCCCCCUGCACUUGCAUCCAUGAUGUCCUCCCAUGCCCUCACGUGGUCCUCUCUCUACACUCACAUCCCUGAUGUCCUCCCGAGCCCUCACGUGGUCCUCUCUCUGCACUCACAUCCUGACGUCCUCCUGUGCCCUCACGUGAUCCUCCCUCUACACUCACAUCCCUGAUAUCCUCCUAUGUCCUCACGUGGUCCUCCCCCUGCACUUGUAUCCCUGAUGUCCUCCCGUGCUCUCACGUAGUCCUCCCUCUACACUCACAUCCAUGAUGUCCUCCCGAGCCCUCACGUGGUCCUCCCUCUACACUCACAUCCUUGAUGUCCUCCCGUGCUCUCACAUGGUCUUCCCUCUACACGCGCAUCCCUGACGUCCUCCCAAGCCCUCACAUGGUCCUCCCUCUGCACACGCAUCCCUGACAUCCCUUCGCCUUCUCCUGGGGACAUCACUCCCAUUGGCUCAGGACCCUCCCUUGUGGUCUCACCUAACUUUCAUCACCUGUUUGAAGACCCCAUUUCCAAAGACAGCCACAUUAAGGGUUAGGGCUUCAACAUAGGGCUUUGGCAGGACACAGUUCAGCUGAUUGCAGAGUCCAAAUAUCUCAGGCUUCUAAACAUGAGUAUGGCAUUGUGGACCUCUAUCAGCAGAGACACUUUCGAGAGAAUCUGGCUGAACUGUGGUGUCCACAUGUCGAUAUUCUAUUAGGUUCACCACAGGGAGUCCUCCAUUUCAGAAGGAUACGAGCCUUUCUGAUGUUGACGUGUGGCUGGCCAUCUGCUCUGGGGGUGGCAAGUCCGCUCUGCAUGGGUGCCCAUCCUCUUGUGGACGUCCUAGGAGUGCUUGUGUGCACCACCUGUGUGUGUGUGUGCACGUGUGUGUGUGCACACAUGAGUGGGAUGGGGACCCUGGGGACAAGAGUCAGAAAAGGAAAGGAAGAGGGAAGAAGGAGGGAUUAGUAUUAGCCCUCGUUAUCAUUACCAUGGAUACACCCUAAUUACAGCAACUGCUGAUUCAGAGCCGUGCGCCUUGAAUGCCAAUCUCUAGAGGAAAAUAAUGGAGACUUUGAAAGAGGGAGGAGAAAUGAGGACAGAACUUCAGAGGGGGCAAGAUGUAUAAUACGCAGACGUUAACGCCCAUUUGGUCGAUUCAAGUAAUUGUAGAAAUGAACUCAUUUUCAUUCUUGUGUCAUUAUCUUAGGUAUCCUGAAAACAAUGUGCUUUCAUUUUCUCAUUUAAAUUUGCACUUGUCUUUCUCAGGUUUUUGUGUCUGUUUCUGCUGUAAAACUUAAAAUAUAUCCUAAAUUACCUGGUCCUCCUCUUA